GGAUCCUCAGUUCCUACAGACC
rnacentral:siRNA from 1 species